GUCCACGCCGUAAACGAUGGGCGCUAGGUGUGGGCGGUGUCGACUCCGUCCGUGCCGAAGCUAACGCAUUAAGCGCCCCGCCUGGGGAGUACGGCCGCAAGGCUAAAACUCAAAGGAAUUGACGGGGGCCCGCACAAGCAGCGGAGCAUGUGGUUUAAUUCGACGCAACGCGAAGAACCUUACCAGGGCUUGACAUGCACGGGUAAGUCGUGGAAACACGACCCCCCGCAAGGGUCCGUGCACAGGUGGUGCAUGGCUGUCGU
rnacentral:rRNA from 1 species